UACGUAGGGCCCGAGCGUUGUCCGGAAUUACUGGGCGUAAAGAGCUCGUAGGUGGUUUGUCGCGUUGUUCGUGAAAACUCACAGCUCAACUGUGGGCGUGCGGGCGAUACGGGCAGACUAGAGUACUGCAGGGGAGACUGGAAUUCCUGGUGUAGCGGUGGAAUGCGCAGAUAUCAGGAGGAACACCGGUGGCGAAGGCGGUUCUCUGGGCAUUACCUGACGCUGAGGAGCGAAAGUGUGGGGAGCGAACAGG
rnacentral:rRNA from 1 species